rnacentral:rRNA from 1 species
GAAACCGGGAUAACUUCGCGAAAGCGUUGCUAAUACCGGAUAUUGUCCUUUUUGCCGUGGCAUGAAGGAUGAAAGGUGACCUCUUCAUGAAAGUUGCCGUUUAAGGAGGGGCUCGCGUACCAUUAGCUUGCUGGUAGGGUAACGGCCUACCAAGGCUACGAUGGUUAGCUGGUUUGAGAGGAUGAUCAGCCACACUGGAACUGAAACACGGUCCAGACUCCUACGGGAGGCAGCAGUGUGGAAUUUUGCGCAAUGGGGGAAACCCUGACGCAGCAACGCCGCGUGAGUGAAGAAGGCCUUCGGGUCGUAAAGCUCUGUCAAGUGGGAAAAAAGCCUUUUGAUCAAUAGUCAAAGGGUCUGAUGGUACCACUGGAGGAAGCACCGGCUAACUCCGUGCCAGCAGCCGCGGUAAUACGGAGGGUGCAAGCGUUGUUCGGAAUUAUUGGGCGUAAAGAGCGUGUAGGCGGUUUGGUAAGUCAGAUGUGAAAGCCCCUGGGCUCAACCCAGGAAGUGCAUUUGAUACUGCCUCCCUUAGAGU